rnacentral:rRNA from 1 species
AGCUCCAAUAGCGUAUAUUAAAGUUGUUGCAGUUAAAAAGCUCGUAGUUGAAUAUUGGGCCUGGCGGCAUGGUCUUGCCUCACGGUAAGUACUAUGAAGUUGGGUCUUUCCUUCUAGUAAACUAUGGUGCUCUUUAUUGAGUGCUAUAGGGAACUAGGACUUUUACUUUGAAAAAAUUAGAGUGUUUAAAGCAGGCCUUUGCUUGAAUACAUUAGCAUGGAAUAAUAGAAUAGGACCUUGAUUCUGUUUCUGUUGGUUUUCGGAACCGAGGUAAUGAUUAAUAGGGACAGUUGGGGGCAUUAGUACUGCAGUGUCAGAGGUGAAAUUCUUGGAUUUCUGCAAGACUAACUUAUGCGAAAGCAUUUGUCAAGGAUGUUUUCA